rnacentral:rRNA from 1 species
UACAGAGGGUGCAAGCGUUACUCGGAAUUACUGGGCGUAAAGCGUGCGUAGACGGUUAUGUAAGUCAGAUGUGAAAGCCCAGGGCUCAACCUUGGAAUUGCAUUUGAGACUGCAUAGCUAGGGUGCGGAAGAGGGAAGCGGAAUUUCCGGUGUAGCGGUGAAAUGCGUAGAUAUCGGAAGGAACACCAGUGGCGAAAGCGGCUUCCUGGUCCGGCACCGACGUUCAGGCACGAAAGCGUGGGGAGCAAACAGG